GUACAUUAUUAUGACUUGUAUUUAGUUCAGUUUAUUUACGAGAUUCUGUCAAAACCAAAACGAGAAGCUUUGUUUGUUUUCGUUUUUAAUUGUUGACUAAUAUUUUAAAAAUAAGUGCUAAAUAUGGUUUAUGGAUGGACUGUGAGGUUAUGUAGAAUCUACAGGCAGAAAAUAAGCUUUAUAUGACUUAUUGCUUACGUUCGCAAUAACAAAUUUGUUCAAGAGAGGAGAAGAAUUAAUCCAUCCCAAAUGUAAAUAAUAAUACGAUUCUCCA